AGGGCCCGGAUGUUACCCCGGAAGAGCUGGAGGGUGACGCGGUCUGGCCUCCCUGUUGGGAAGAGCCAGUGCGGUGUGUGGAAGAGCCUGAGACAGAAGCCUGAGAAGACUCUUACCAGAAUGGAGGAGAGGAAGGAAGGCGUUCUAGACCAGGGUGCGGACAAGAGGCCUUUGGGUUGCAAUCUGAAGGUGGACCAGGCAGUGGAUUGUGAAGGCGAUUGGGCUGACCCACGUGCGGAGCCCUCAGUGCAAAGUCCUCUCUGCUCCCCAAGCCUGCAAUCCCAGCCGCAGCCCCGGGGCCUGGAAACUCCGGCCGAUUUAUUAAAGCGUCCUCCCUGUCUGCCACCAUCAGGCUAGAAUUGUUCCGAACAAAAGAAGCAUGAAUUGCUGGAAACUAUAUAUUAAAUGCAAGACUAUUUGUCUAGUUUUCAUUGGGUGCUGAGUGAAGAGCCUCAACUCCUCGUAUUCCCAUGGUACUCAGAUGUCCGCGG
rnacentral:lncRNA from 1 species